UUAAGUGACUAAGCGUACACGGUGGAUGCCUAGGCAGUCAGAGGCGAUGAAGGGCGUGCUAAUCUGCGAAAAGCGUCGGUAAGGUGAUAUGAACCGUUAUAACCGGCGAUACCCGAAUGGGGAAACCCAGUGUGUUUCGACACACUAUCAUGUCAUGAAUACAUAGUGGCAUGAGGCGAACCGGGGGAACUGAAACAUCUAAGUACCCCGAGGAAAAGAAAUCAACCGAGAUUCCCCCAGUAGCGGCGAGCGAACGGGGAGGAGCCCAGAACCUGAAUCGGCUUGUGUGUUAGUGGAAGCGUCUGGAAAGUCGCGCAGCAAAGGGUGAUAGCCCCGUACACUAAAAUGCACAGGUCGUGAGUUCGAUGAGUAGGGCGGGACACGUGACAUCCUGUCUGAAUAUGGGGGGACCAUCCUCCAAGGCUAAAUACUCCUGACUGACCGAUAGUGAACCAGUACCGUGAGGGAAAGGCGAAAAGAACCCCGGCGAGGGGAGUGAAAUAGAACCUGAAACCGUGUACGUACAAGCAGUGGGAGCACCUUCGUGGUGUGACUGCGUACCUUUUGUAUAAUGGGUCAGCGACUUAUAUUUUGUAGCAAGGUUAACCGUAUAGGGGAGCCGUAGGGAAACCGAGUCUUAACUGGGCGAAUAGUUGCAAGGUAUAGACCCGAAACCCGGUGAUCUAGCCAUGGGCAGGUUGAAGGUUGGGUAACACUAACUGGAGGACCGAACCGACUAAUGUUGAAAAAUUAGCGGAUGACUUGUGGCUGGGGGUGAAAGGCCAAUCAAACCGGGAGAUAGCUGGUUCUCCCCGAAAGCUAUUUAGGUAGCGCCUCGUGAACUCAUCUUCGGGGGUAGAGCACUGUUUCGGCUAGGGGGCCAUCCCGGCUUACCAAACCGAUGCAAACUCCGAAUACCGAAGAAUGUUAUCACGGGAGACACACGGCGGGUGCUAACGUCCGUCGUGAAGAGGGAAACAACCCAGACCGCCAGCUAAGGUCCCAAAGUCAUGGUUAAGUGGGAAACGAUGUGGGAAGGCAUAGACAGCCAGGAUGUUGGCUUAGAAGCAGCCAUCAUUUAAAGAAAGCGUAAUAGCUCACUGGUCGAGUCGGCCUGCGCGGAAGAUGUAACGGGGCUAAACCAUGCACCGAAGCUGCGGCAGCGACGUUUAGGCGUUGUUGGGUAGGGGAGCGUUCUGUAAGCCGUUGAAGGUGGCCUGUGAGGGUUGCUGGAGGUAUCAGAAGUGCGAAUGCUGACAUAAGUAACGAUAAAGCGGGUGAAAAGCCCGCUCGCCGGAAGACCAAGGGUUCCUGUCCAACGUUAAUCGGGGCAGGGUGAGUCGACCCCUAAGGCGAGGCUGAAAAGCGUAGUCGAUGGGAAACAGGUUAAUAUUCCUGUACUUGGUGUUACUGCGAAGGGGGGACGGAGAAGGCUAGGCUAGCCGGGCGACGGUUGUCCCGGUUUAAGCGUGUAGGGGGUGUGACCUGGUAAAUCCGGUUGCAUAUCAACCCUGAGGCGUGAUGACGAUGCACUACGGUGCAGAAGUAGUUGAUGCCCUGCUUCCAGGAAAAGCCUCUAAGCUCCAGGUAACAUUGAAUCGUACCCCAAACCGACACAGGUGGUCAGGUAGAGAAUACCAAGGCGCUUGAGAGAACUCGGGUGAAGGAACUAGGCAAAAUGGUGCCGUAACUUCGGGAGAAGGCACGCUGGCAUGUAGGUGAAGUCCCUUGCGGAUGGAGCUGAAGCCAGUCGAAGAUACCAGCUGGCUGCAACUGUUUAAUAAAAACACAGCACUGUGCAAACACGAAAGUGGACGUAUACGGUGUGACGCCUGCCCGGUGCUGGAAGGUUAAUUGAUGGGGUCAGCCGCAAGGCGAAGCUCUUGAUCGAAGCCCCAGUAAACGGCGGCCGUAACUAUAACGGUCCUAAGGUAGCGAAAUUCCUUGUCGGGUAAGUUCCGACCUGCACGAAUGGCGUAAUGAUGGCCAGGCUGUCUCCACCCGAGACUCAGUGAAAUUGAACUCGCUGUGAAGAUGCAGUGUACCCGCGGCAAGACGGAAAGACCCCGUGAACCUUUACUAUAGCUUGACACUGAACAUUGAGCCUUGAUGUGUAGGAUAGGUGGGAGGCUUUGAAGCGUGGACGCCAGUCUGCGUGGAGCCAUCCUUGAAAUACCACCCUUUAAUGUUUGAUGUUCUAACUCGGCCCCAUAAUCUGGGGUGAGGACAGUGUCUGGUGGGUAGUUUGACUGGGGCGGUCUCCUCCCAAAGAGUAACGGAGGAGCACGAAGGUUAGCUAAUCACGGUCGGACAUCGUGAGGUUAGUGCAAAGGCAUAAGCUAGCUUGACUGCGAGAGUGACGGCUCGAGCAGGUACGAAAGUAGGUCUUAGUGAUCCGGUGGUUCUGAAUGGAAGGGCCAUCGCUCAACGGAUAAAAGGUACUCCGGGGAUAACAGGCUGAUACCGCCCAAGAGUUCAUAUCGACGGCGGUGUUUGGCACCUCGAUGUCGGCUCAUCACAUCCUGGGGCUGAAGUAGGUCCCAAGGGUAUGGCUGUUCGCCAUUUAAAGUGGUACGCGAGCUGGGUUUAGAACGUCGUGAGACAGUUCGGUCCCUAUCUGCCGUGGGCGUUGGAAGAUUGAGAGGGGUUGCUCCUAGUACGAGAGGACCGGAGUGAACGCACCACUGGUGUUCGGGUUGUCAUGCCAAUGGCAUUGCCCGGUAGCUAAGUGCGGAAAAGAUAAGCGCUGAAAGCAUCUAAGCGCGAAACUUGCCUCAAGAUGAGUCUUCCCUGGACCUUUAAGGUCCCUGAAGGAACGUUUAAGACUAAGACGUUGAUAGGCUGGGUGUGUAAGUGCAGCGAUGCAUUGAGCUAACCAGUACUAAUGAUCCGUGAGGCUUAACCUU
rnacentral:rRNA from 1 species